rnacentral:tRNA from 1 species
CGGUAAGGCAACGGUUUUUGGUACCGUCAUGCGCUGGUUCGAAUCCAGCUACCCCAG